rnacentral:rRNA from 1 species
UACGUAGGGGGCAAGCGUUAUCCGGAUUUACUGGGUGUAAAGGGGGCGCAGACGGCGAUGCAAGCCAGGAGUGAAAGCCCGGGGCCCAACCCCGGGACUGCUCUUGGAACUGCGUGGCUGGAGUGCAGGAGGGGCAGGCGGAAUUCCUGGUGUAGCGGUAAAAUGCGUAGAUAUCAGGAGGAACACCGGUGGCGAAGGCGGCCUGCUGGACUGCAACUGACGUUGAGGCCCGAAAGCGUGGGGAGCAAACAGG